UGAAGUCAAAGACAUCGAGGCAGGGGUUCUGCAAGGAAGCGUCUUAGGACCGAUACUAUACACACUAUACACGGCCAACAUACCAACAACUACCAAUAGCAAAAUACUGAGAUUCGCGGACGACACAGCUGUACUAGUCAGGAACACUAACCCAGAAACAGCAGUCAAAUUACUACGAGAACAUAUCACAAAAAUAGAAAAUGGCUGCAAGAUAAACAAAUAAAAGCAAACCCCGAUAAAUGCAACCAUAUUACAUUCGCACUGCGAAAACAGACACCACCAAACAUCGUACUGAACGGCACGCACAUACCGCGAACAAGGCAAAUCAAAUACCUAGGACUCCACCUAGAAACACAACUCACAUAGAAACGACGUACUAAAUCAAUAAUAGACAAAAUACAGACGACAGGGAGACAAAUGCAUUGGCUAGCAAGUGGAAAAUCCAAAUUAAGCAUAGAAAAUAAAUUAAAAAUAUGCAAAACGAU